rnacentral:lncRNA from 1 species
AUGAAUGAGCUCAAAAUGGACCCUCUAGUGACAGCUCUGUCAAAGAAUAACCGUCAGAUGCUCUCGGAGACAACAACUUUGACAUAUGUAUUUUUCCCUACAGGCAUGGAGCUGCUGCCAUCUCGUCUGAGAAGAACAGCUGAUUUGGUACAAUCACAUUUUUUCCAGUACUUUUUAAGCCCAGUAGAGCUUUUUCCUGACAAAGUUCAUCAGACCCCCAGUUCGAGAACCACAGUUGAAGAAUCCUGGCAGACAUUUGAUGUGGCAAGGGUGGGAUCCUCAUUUAAACAAUUUUGUUACAUGAUUUUUCAAGCGAUUUCAAGCACCGAAGCAGUCACCAUCUGCCUGCAAGCCCCUGCUGAGCCACAAAGGAUUGUGCUGAGAUACCCCUCAGUAAUGAGCAGCCAUGGCAAGCAAGGGCUGACUGUUUAAAUGAUCAUCUUAAGCUAGACACAGUUCGAGGUAACCUAGCGAUCAUGCCCAGGUCAAAACCACUGCGCAUAAUAGGGCUGAAAGAAGCAAAAGAAGAGUGUGGUGUAUGAGGAUAUUUAGAAUUCUUCAGGGCGAUUGACAUUAAUUAACUUGCCAGCUGGACAAGCUCCCAACGAACCAACAUCUUACAGAACUGCAAUGGUCUAUCCAAAUUGGGAAUACACUUUGCUAGUGAGCUGUCGCACACAUAUUUAUAAGGCACUGUGAUGCUGGAAAGUGUUUCCGCAGGAUAUGAAGCAGAGCAGAUUUGGGCUACGCAUCUUAUUGUGCGGUGCUGGUUUUUUACUCAUUUUGUUGUUUGUAAAUGGACCACUUUCUGCCUUUAUAUUUGUCUUUUGAAAAGGAGUAAGAGAUAUAAAAAACCCACGUAUUAGGAACAAAAAGAAAAAGACAUAUUGGUACAUGUGCAAGUCAUAGCAACACUUCAUUUUGUGCUACUGAAAUGUACAAAUGAUAAAUACUGUUACUACUUCAAUAUGUUAGUUUAAGAUACCACCCUAGAAAAAUAAAAGAUAAUGUUUUGACCA